rnacentral:sRNA from 1 species
CAGAUAGCCCUGUAAAAUGAAGUCAUCCACAGAACAGGUACAGCACCAGGCAAUGGCUGUGCAAGCUACUCCACACUGCUCUACUAAUGUGCAUCCACCCUGACACAUACAAAGACAAGCUGUAGGGGCAGCAAAGUAAUGCAUGUCUAAAAUGGACAUUU